rnacentral:rRNA from 1 species
GACGUAGGGGGCGAGCGUUGUCCGGAUUCAUUGGGCGUAAAGCGCGCGUAGGCGGCCCGGUAAGUCGGAUGUGAAAUCCUACGGCUCAACCGUGGAACUGCAUUCGAUACUGUCGGGCUAGAGGCAGGUAGGGGAGAUCGGAAUUCCCGGUGUAGCGGUGAAAUGCGUAGAUAUCUGGAGGAACACCGGUGGCGAAGGCGGCAUCCUGGACCAACACUGACGCUGAGUGAGCGAAAGCCAGGGGAGCAAACGGG